rnacentral:rRNA from 1 species
CAAAUGAAUUGACGGGACCGCACAAGCGGUGGAUGAUGUGGUUUAAUUCGAUGCAACGCGAAAACCUUACCCACCUUUGACAUGUACGGAACCCUUUAGAGAUAGAGGGGUGCUCGAAAGAGAGCCGUAACACAGGUGCUGCAUGGCUGUCGUCAGCUCGUGUCGUGAGAUGUUGGGUUAAGUCCCGCAACGAGCGCAACCCUUGUCAUUAGUUGCUACAUUCAGUUGGGCACUCUAAUGAGACUGCCGGUGACAAGCCGGAGGAAGGUGGGGAUGACGUCAAGUCCUCAUGGCCCUUAUAGGUGGGGCUACACACGUCAUACAAUGGCUGGUACAAAGGGUUGCCAACCCGCGAGGGGGAGCCAAUCCCAUAAAGCCAGUCGUAGUCCGGAUCGUAGUCUGCAACUCGACUACGUGAAGUCGGAAUCGCUAGUAAUCGUGGAUCAGAAUGUCACGGUGAAUACGUUCCCGGGUCUU